rnacentral:rRNA from 1 species
GACGAACGCUGGCGGCGUGCUUAACACAUGCAAGUCGAACGAAGAGCGAUGGAAGCUUGCUUCUAUCACUCUUAGUGGCGAACGGGUGAGUAACGCGUAAUCAACCUGCCCUUCAGAGGGGGACAACAGUUGGAAACGACUGCUAAUACCGCAUACGAUCUAAUCUCGGCAUCGAGGAAAGAUGAAAGGUGGCCUCUAUUUAUAAGCUAUCACUGAAGGAGGGGAUUGCGUCUGAUUAGCUAGUUGGAGGGGUAACGGCCCACCAAGGCGAUGAUCAGUAGCCGGUCUGAGAGGAUGAACGGCCACAUUGGGACUGAGACACGGCCCAGACUCCUACGGGAGGCAGCAGUGGGGAAUCUUCCGCAAUGGACGAAAGUCUGACGGAGCAACGCCGCGUGAGUGAUGACGGCCUUCGGGUUGUAAAGCUCUGUUAAUCGGGACGAAAGGCCUUCUUGCGAACAGUUAGAAGGAUUGACGGUACCGGAAUAGAAAGCCACGGCUAACUACGUG